UCACGCCAAUACACCUUCUUUACAGUAGAAGAAAAAGGUGGCACCUGAGACAUGAGGAUCGCACUAACACUGCUUGCUCUUGUGAGUAUUAUUGCAUGCUAUCUGCAUUUUGUUGAUGGAGAAGAGACAAACGAAGAUGGACAGGUGGGACAGAGGGGUAAUCUAGUCGAACGAUUGCGAAGAGCCGCGUCUGUUAGAAGUGGCUCUGGGGAACCUUCAAUGCGAUUUAAAAGAGCAAUGCCAGUUUUAGCAAGCAAUCGACGAGGUCGCCGUCAAAGAAGUCGAGGGGGUAGAGGAGGAAGGCGAGGACGACUUCCAGGAAGGCGAGGGGGUAGACGAGGACGUCGCCCAGGAAGGCGAGGGGGCAGAGGAGGAAGGCGAGGACGCCGUCCAGGAAGGCGAGGAGGUAGACGAGGACGUCGUCCAGGAAGGCGAGGGGGCAGAGGAGGAAGGCGAGGACGCCGCCCAGGAAGGCUAGGGGGUAGACGAGGACGCCGACCAGGAAGGCGAGGGGGUAGAGGAGGAAGGCGAGGACUCAGACGGGGACGCCGACCAUUAAGGAAAGGGAACGUAAGGCGAGGACAGGUGACGCCGCCCUAACCGUGAUAUAAAAAUGAACUUGUGCAUGUCAGUCAUGAAUAAAGGCAAAUGUUAGUUUGUA